rnacentral:rRNA from 1 species
AGUGAACGCUGGCGGUAGGCCUAACACAUGCAAGUCGAACGGCAGCACAGGAGAGCUUGCUCUCUGGGUGGCGAGUGGCGGACGGGUGAGGAAUACAUCGGAAUCUACUCUGUCGUGGGGGAUAACGGAGGGAAACUUACGCUAAUACCGCAUACGACCUACGGGUGAAAGCAGGGGAUCUUCGGACCUUGCGCGAUUGAAUGAGCCGAUGUCGGAUUAGCUAGUUGGCGGGGUAAAGGCCCACCAAGGCGACGAUCCGUAGCUGGUCUGAGAGGAUGAUCAGCCACACUGGAACUGAGACACGGUCCAGACUCCUACGGGAGGCAGCAGUGGGGAAUAUUGGACAAUGGGCGCAAGCCUGAUCCAGCCAUACCGCGUGGGUGAAGAAGGCCUUCGGGUUGUAAAGCCCUUUUGUUGGGAAAGAAAUCCAGCUGGCUAAUACCCGGUUGGGAUGACGGUACCCAAAGAAUAAGCACCGGCUAACUUCGUGCCAGCAGCCGCCGUAACAC